rnacentral:rRNA from 1 species
AUUGAACGCUGGCGGCAGGCCUAACACAUGCAAGUCGAAUGGUAACAGGAAACAGCUUGCUGUUUCGCUGACGAGUGGCGGACGGGUGAGUAAUGUCUGGGAAACUGCCUGAUGGAGGGGGAUAACUACUGGAAACGGUAGCUAAUACCGCAUAACGUCGCAAGACCAGAGAGGGGGACCUUCGGGCCUCUUGCCAUCAGAUGUGCCCAGAUGGGAUUAGCUAGUAGGUGGGGUAACGGCUCACCUAGGCGACGAUCCCUAGCUGGUCUGAGAGGAUGACCAGCCACACUGGAACUGAGACACGGUCCAGACUCCUACGGGAGGCAGCAGUGGGGAAUAUUGCACAAUGGGCGCAAGCCUGAUGCAGCCAUGCCGCGUGUAUGAAGAAGGCCUUCGGGUUGUAAAGUACUUUCAGCGGGGAGGAAGGGAGUAAAGUUAAUACCUUUGCUCAUUGACGUUACCCGCAGAAGAAGCACCGGCUAACUCCGUG